AAGAGAACCCCUCGUCAAGCCCUCAAGUCGUAAAAUUUAAAGGAGUGUUCAGUUUUACAUCUAUAUAUAUACAUCACACAAAAUACUUUAUAUUUAUAUGAAGAUAAUAUAUCUUAUAUAAUAUCACACCAUCUCCCUCCUCUAUUCGAAAUUCUUUCGAAUUCUCUCAGAUCUCCUCACUCCAAGCUCAUUUUCAUUUUUAUCUUCACUCCUACAUUCCAUUUCUCCCUUUUGAAUUCUUAGGAAACGUCUAUUUCUCCAAAACCUUUCUCUUGAAUCCAAUUUGACUGGAUAUUUUCGAUUAUUUCCUUUAGCAAUAAUUCUUCCAUGAUCUGACCAUCGUUUAUUCCUAUAAUUUUAAACGAUCACACUCUCUCCAACACUGAUUUCCGGUAAAUCUCUUCUAAUCUUAUUACAACUUAUCUUCUCUUUCUCUCUUCUAUGUAACAUUUUUAAAUUAUCUCUAUAUUCUUCUUGCCUGUGCUGUAACCUCGGAACGUAACAUUUUUAAUGGACAAGUAUGCAUGAUCUUACUUGAUGACCAUAUAAAAUAUCAUUAGGUGACUUUCCGUUCGCUUUCAGUGUAUUUCUGAGUUCUAGGAUUUCCUGGAUAAACUCGUCGGACUUGAAUCUUCCUCCAACCUUAUCAAGAAGCGUUUUCAUUGCCUUCACCAUAGACUCAGUUUGGCCAUUACUUUGUGGAUAAUGAGGUAAUGAUGGUCCCCGUGUUACUCCCCACUUAGUCAAGAAAUCUUGAAAGGCUUUAGAAUUGAGGUCCUUGAUCAGUCCUUAAUUUGACAGGAAUACUUGUUACCGAAAAUAUCUUCCUCAGCACUACUAUAACUUCCCCUGAAGUUGGGACUCUUCUAAAUUCCUCCACUUAAGGGUAUCCAGAUAUCUUUCUCUAUACACCAAAUAUUGUUUCCCAUGAUAUUCAAACAGAUCUGCUGACGUAUUUUUGAAAGGUCUCAUCGGAAUUGGAUCUCUCAUUAUAGUAUCCCCUCCAAUACUUGGCCAAUGUACCGUCUGCUUUGCUCUUCUCUUCGUUUUCUCGAUUCCUUGAUGUACACGAUGUAACUUCUGAAGAACAUCGCACUGCUUAUUCAUGUAAUAUUUUCCACAAAUGAUUCAAUUGUGUAUUUUAUCACACCUGUUUCAAUUGCAUUAAAAAUCAAUAUAUUCUCGGGGUCGACAAACUUCUUUACAAAUCUAUCAUCUUCUUGAAAAUGGGAAAUUGUUAUCACUACUAAUCGGAUCUUAUAUCCAUGAUGACCUAUUUCUUGAUCUAAUUCAUCAUCCUCUUCUAGUAACGAUGCAGAUACUCUUGAUAACGUAUCUGCAAUUUCAUGGUUCUUUUCUUUCCUCCAUUCUCUCUUAAACUGAUAGAAAGCUAACUUCGUUUUAUAUCUAAUCACUUUAACAUUUUCAAGCAUAUAUAUUCUAUAAUUGUUAAGAAUAGGAACUAACAGCUUGUGAUCCGUAAUAACACCGAACGUUGGUAAUCCUACCAAGAACACAAGACAUUUCUUGAUUGCCCCUAACAUACCUAAACAUUCUAGUUCAAUCAUAGCAUAACAAGUUUCUACAAUCGACAAAAAACGAGAUCCACAUUGUACCAAUUUCCAUCCUUCUUUUUUCUUAAUACAAAUUCCAAACCAUUAAAUUUUAACGCAUCAGUUUCUAUUCUCGUUUCCAACUUUGGAUUGAACGGAGCCAAUAAAGGGGGAUAUAUUAAAGAAGUUUUAUCUUUUCCAUAGCCAUUCCAUGAGUUCUUGUGCAUAUGAAUUCAACUUUAGAAGAUAACAAUUCCCUCAAAGGACUCACCAAUUAAUUAGUUUACUAAUCCUAUAAAACUUCUAAGAUUUUUUCUUGAUGAUGGUUCUGGAAACUUUUUUAUUGCACUAAAUUAAUCAGGAUUAGCUUCAAAUCCCUUUUGAGAUAUAAAAUAUCCAAAAAACUUUACUUUAGGUUGUGCAAAUGUAAACUUUGUUGAAUUUAAUGUAGCUUUCUUCUCACGACAUUUUUCUAAAGUUGUUCGGACUUUUUGCACAUGAUCAACAAAACUGUAUGAAACUGUCAAAAUAUCGUCAACCACUUCGUACGUAUCAGUCAACCCUUCUAAAGUUUCAUCCCCUCGUAGGCAAUAAGCAUCCUCUGUCGCAAUAAAUCCCAUUGGAGCUCUAUUGAAAAUAUAUCUUCCCCAAGGUGUGAUUAAAUAUAUCAAUUCUCGAGAUUUCUUGUCUAACUCCAUUUGCCAAUAUCCCUGUUUUGCAUCCAUAACGGUAAAAAAUUCAGAUGUGCCUGGUACACUUGAUACAAUAUCUCUUGGUGUCAUUACAGGAUCUAGCAAUUUGAUCAUUCAAUUUUUUCAGAUCAGCACACAAUUGUACUUUCCCGUUUGAUUUUGGAACAACUACUAAAGGAUGACACCACUUUAAAGCCUUAUCGCCAACUUUACUUAUAAUUCCCAUUUUCUCUGUUAUCUAUUUCUGUCUUCACUUCUUCUCUAUACGCAUAUGGAAUUGUUCUUGAGCUGUAUUAAUCGCAUACGGAUUGUAGUUUUCUUUUAAAUGCAUUUUCAUAGAUUCUCUACCCAUGGGUUUUUCAUUCUUCUCUAUCAUAAAAAAACAUCUUUAAACUUGUCCAUCAAUGCACGUUUAGUAUCUUCAACAGAUCACUUAUUACAUCUCCUCAAUGAUGCCACUUGAAUUUGGAUGGGAUUUUUUUUUUUUUUUUGAAUUAAUUGAAGUUCUCUAUUUACUCUUGGUGAUAAGUAUAACUCGGGAAAAUAUGAUAUAUUUAAAAAAAUAAAUGAUAAACAUGUAUUUUUUAACUUUUUAUUAGGUAAACUUGGCUACUCAACUUCUGCUCGUCCGUAGCAGAUGCGAUAUAAUUUUGCGAUAAAGACCUUCAAUUGACAGAAUUCAAAAAUUCUGAAGGAACUGUCGACUUCAUUUGAAGAUUUGAUCGACUUUUUGAUUUCGCCGACAACCGAAAUCCUUUGGCCAAAGUAUUCAAAUCUCCUCUUACUAUUGGGAAUGAAGUCUUUUGGAAACCAUUUAUUGAAGAAUAUAUUAACGAAUUGAAGGAUGAAUCUGGGUAUCCUUUGGUCAAAACGAAGAAAGGAACAGCUUUUAUUGGAUUCGUGGCAUCCAUAACUUCAAUUAGUAGCAUAUUUUAUUACCUUGUAAAAUCGAAAAUGAUGAAGUAUCUUCUAAUAUACAUACUAUCUCUGGUAGAUAUCUAUCAGGAGCCAACCGGGUAUCCGGUUUGGUUAGGCCCUAUGACCAGCGCAGUUUUAUUGGUUCGGUUGGUACCGGUAUUUAAAUUAAAGACAUUUUCGUUUUUAUAAUACCCGGAUCAUAUCGAAUUUUUCUUCUGUGCCAUACAAUGGCAUUUAGGGAAUAAUAAUAACCCAACUUGUCAAAUGUUUUCCUCUAUUUAUAAGACAUCAUGUUACCGACGGCAGAGGCUCAUAAGGCAUAAGACUAGAUGAUGCACUGUUGCACUCUUCACUGCAUCAAAGAGCAAGAGAACAGAAUCAGAAGUCAUAUCAUACCUGGAUGAUGAAGAUUUAUCCCUGAUUAAGAAAUAUGGCCUGGAAGAAAAGCAUUUACUUUUCGAAGACCACGACUAUUGCGAUGUGCCUCCUUUUGUGCGAAGCCUUACACAAUUCAAAGAAUGCGUGGUUGCUUACAUCAGUGAAUAUGUAGUAAGGUCAGUUUCCAAGUACUUAGAAAGCCUUGAGUGCUUAGAAGCUCUUUAUUGUCAUAAUCCGUGUAACUGCUGCAAUUCUUUAAUUGCGAGGAAAUCCCAAUGGAGGUCUCCUUUAUUCAUCAAAAAGUGUAUUGGAAAUAUGUAUAAAAACUGAAAAAUGUUUCUUGAGAAUCAAAAUUCAAGGAGUUCUCAACACCAAAGCUACUGUGAUACAAAACACUAUUACCAGCCGUGUCCUACAAAUAUGCAAUUAUAAAUCCUAGAUAUUUAAGGAACUUGAAUCUCAUAAUCUUGACAGCUCACCAUUAAAUAACCAUAUCCUUAAAUUACAAAAAUGUACUAUCUUGACUUAUUCUAAAAUUAGGCUUUAUGAAGCCAGCCUCAUUUCUGAGCAUUUUAAAAAAAGAGUUUAUACUAAAGUCUCUUUCGAAACAAAUUCUUUUUAAGAGUCAAUGGUCUUAAAUAUCCUGUGUAUAUUAUAUUUGUAUUUUCUAAAAAAUAAAUAGUAGCAAAGAUGGUUGUAAUAAAAUGAUUCUAAAUUAUUGUUGGUCCUAAUGCAA
rnacentral:lncRNA from 1 species